AAAUGCACCAAGCCGAGUCGGUCGGAGACUCGGAACACACGAGAGCGGCAGCCUGUCAGUGUGGUGCUGAUCUUGAACCUUGAAAGAUACAAAGUGACAACGACUCUGACCAAAUCAACUGUCAGUCAUGACCAAGCUAAAAGUUCACAUUGUGUAUUGUGGCGCCUGAGGUUACGCCCCCAAGUUCCGUAACUUGAAGGAACAACUUGAGGGCGAAUUCCCCGAUAAGCUGGAAAUAACCGGCGAGGGAACACCUGACGUAACGGGUUACUUUGAGGUCACCGUAGGCGACAAACUUGUCCAUAGCAAAAAGGGUGGCAACGGCUACGUGGACAAUGAGACCAAAUACAACAAAAUUGUGGAUGCCAUUCACGAAGCUCUGGGAGACUAACAUGGGGAGCCUCUGAUACUUCCAUGAUGAGACGAUUGUGAUCCUGUCACCGGGAAUGGAUGAUAUGAAACUUGUGGCCUAAAGCCCUCAUUGGAAAGGCCGCAGGUCGAAGCCUGCUGUAGCUGAUUCAGUUCUGGUGGAAGGAUUUGCUCGAGUUAGAUCAGGGAAAAAUGCUCAGGCUAUGAAGAAAAAGAAAAAAACGAGGAAUCUCUAUAGUUUUUUUUUUUAAAUAUCUUUGACAUUUUCGCUUUGGUAAAGAUGUGACAGAUUAAACCAUUUAAAUUUUAUUUUGUUUUACAGUGUCAUUUUACUGCAUUUUAAAAAGACGAAAUUCCACAAUGCAAUGAAUUUUAGUUUUGUAGUAAAGCAACUAAUCCUCUGAU